UCCCCUCCUACCUCAUGAACUUUCGAAAAUUCUUGUUUGCAAUUAUUUGUUUAAAAUAUCAAAAUCAGCAGUUCUGCAUUGAUUUUUUUCAUCUCUAUAAGCCAUUAAAUGCACAGAGUUGAUUAUAAGUUGUUUUCUAAGGCAGUGAUUCCCAAAUCUUUAUUUCAGUAGUCAUACCUGACAGGUAAGGUUUAUUCAUGUGUCACAUUCCCUAAUUCUUUCAGUUUUCUUUGUAUCAUUUAUGACACAGAUGAAG
rnacentral:lncRNA from 1 species